CAUAUUUAUUGCCUAUUUUGUCUUCCCAACGAUUAGUUUUAUUCUAAAUCGAGAAAAUGAAAUUCGUUAUCGCUUUGUGCUUUACCCUGUUGGUGCUUAGCAUUACUGAAGUAAAAAGUGACUAUUAUGCAGAUCAUGAAGCAAGUCCUGCACCAGAAGGAUCACACUCAAAUCACCAAGUCGGUGACGGUUCACAUCAUGUUGAACAAAAAUUGCCUAACCCAUCAGACUAUGCACAGCUUCCACAUCUUAAGAAAUAACCUGGAAGGAGACUCAAAAUUGCGCUAUUUGUAGCACUGCUUGCGCUGCAAAUGUUGCUGAUUAUGCUUAAUAUGUAUUUCUGGAUGGAUGAGAGGAGUUAUAAAAAGUUUGCUGUGUAAUAUCAAACUAAUAAGAUGUGAAAAAUAAAUAUACUUAAAUAAAA